ACAUGCCUACAACAUAGAAUUAAUGCAUCAGAUCCCAUUAGAACUUCAUAGUUAAGCACGCUCAGGCUAGAGUAGUACUGGGAUGGGUGACCACACAAUGGAGUGUGAUGUAAGGCUUCUU
rnacentral:rRNA from 1 species